GGCACCGUGGCUUAGUAGGUUAAAGUCCCUGUCUCUUAAACAUUAUAUCCUGGGUUCAAAUCCCAGCAGUGCCU
rnacentral:tRNA from 1 species